UGUAGAUUAUAGUCUUCGAUUGUCCAUAGGGAAAUUACGUAAUCAUUGCACGGAAUAGGCAGUAUUUUAGUGGUUAUACCAAUUUUCCUUUGAUUUUCAAGAUUUAAUUGCAAAACAUAGUGAGAUCUCACCACGUGGAGGAAGUUAUGCAAUAGAAACUCUGGCCCAAAAAACCCAACCUAUAGCAUUGGCUUCACCAUUGAGGCUAUGGCCAACGAUAAUACCAGGGAUCGACUCUACUGCUUCGUGUGCUUACGUGAAGAGAGGUAGACUACUGAUUUUGCAAAGGUCUUUACAAGAGGAGUAGUGGCCCAACUGUUGAUUAUGUAUACAGGUAGAGCGUGCACAAUGUCACCUGCGAUCUAUGCUACAUAACCAAUAUUCCAGACGGAACUAUUGCUAUAUCAGUCAUGCAAACAUUUCACGAAACGAGACCCUACUGGCACCAUCAAGUGUCAAAGAUACGCUCCCUUUAAACGAAAACCUAAAGCUACGAAGAACUACAGAAAUGAUUUUUUAUCCAGUAUUUCAAGUUAGAAAAACUCACGAGCAAGUAACAAUAAAGUAGCUUCAUCCGUUGAAAAUAAACCUCGUAACUUUUUACGGAAAGCGUGCACAAGGAAUUUAUCAAGAGGAUCAAUUUUAUAGCUAGGAUAUGAAAAACACACGAGCAAGCAACAAUGAGGUAGCUUCAUCUGUUGAAGAUAAACCCCGUAACUUUCUAUGGAAAGCGUGCACAAGAAAUUUAACAAGAGGAUCAAUUUUAUAGCUAGGAUAUGAAAAACACACGAACAAGCAACAAUGAGGUAGCUUCAUCCGUUGAAGAUAAACCCCGUAACUUUCUAUGGAAAGCGUGCACAAGGAAUUUAACAAGAGGAUCAAUUUUAUAACUAGGUAAAACUAACUAACAAUCAGACACAAUCUAAUGCUCGAGAGGACCCUAAGAAGCCUCCAUGCCUCCUUGACGUUUCGUCGAAUGUUAUAUCGUUUCCGUACUUUCCGUCUUGAUGAAACAUCGUUAGACCAUACAUAAUAUUUCAUCGUUGGACCUCCAACGUCGACGAACAGUUUUUACGUGCCUGCUCCUUAAUCAGAUCACGCGAGAUCUGCUUCUAAAAUUUUUCUUAUGAUAUUUCUGUACCGGUCUCGUUACCAUUAUUCUCUGAUACACGAUUCGACGUAAGGAUAACGCGAUAUCUCAGGUGAUCCAUUGUAACGAGCUUGACUUACCGAAGUUUACAUUUUUAGCUACCUCUGCAGAAGUUACGU